GAUCUAUACGCAAACUCACGGUCUCCCUUCAAGAGACUCUGGCAACAACUCGGGCCAUGACAUUUAAGGCAUGCUCCGAUACAGUGGAUCACAAUUAUUAACGUAUUCAUGUAUAUGUAAUGUAAUGAACUGUUCUAGCUGUAAUGUACGUGCUCUCUACCUAGUAAGUAUAGUAAUGUACUCGUUCUAGUAUCGUUGUAUAUGUUCUCUUCCUAGUAUAGUUGUAUAUGUUCUUCUCUAGUAUAGUUGUAUAUGUACUCAUAGUAAUGAAAUGUUCUAGUUGUAAUGUACGUGCUCUCUACCUAGCAAGUAUAGUAAUGUACUCGUUCUAGUAUUGUUGUAUAUGUUCUCUUCCUAGUAUAGUUGUAUAUGUACUUCUCUAGUAUAGUUUUAUAUGUACUCAUAGUAAUGAAAUGUUCUAGCUGUAAUGUAUGUGCUCUCUAUCUAGCAAGUAUAGACUCAUGAAUGAACUGACUCAUUGUAUGAUAUCGUGUUCUAGUAAUAGUUCUAGUAUCUUCCUAAACUACCCAUAUGGUAGUUUACUAGUAAUCUAACUGGGACGUAUGAACAUGGAUGUUUACCCUUGCUACCCAAGGGCAUGGGAUGAACUGGAAGACCUUUUAUGACUAUAUAUGUACACAUGAUAUGUAACUAAUAUUUAAACGACCUUCGGACGAGUACCCGAUAUCCCACCAGACCACAUCUCAAGCGCGAAAAGGAAAUAGGGUGGAUAACCUUCCUAAGUCUUUUAAACAUUUCUUAUAUAACUAUACAUAUAGAGGCAUGCAAUUUAUAAUAUAAAAACAUAAAUAAGUUUUGUAAACCUUUGAACAUAAUCAUUAUCUAAGAAAAGAUCGACUUGAUGUCGAUCUAUAAAACGGUUUGUAGGCAUGGGUUUGAUAAAACGGUUUAAGUAUAAGGAAACAUUUGUUUGAAACACAAUUGUAAAUAAGUUUGAAAUAAAACAUACAGAGUAAAAUGUACAGUGUAAUAAGGACUAUAAAAUGUUUAUGAACAUCAUUUGAAGGAAACUGUUUGGUAAAACGGCUAAUGAGUGGUAAAUCAUUUAAAUGCUGCU
rnacentral:lncRNA from 1 species